UUAUGUAUCUGCUUCGAUGGACAAAUAAACCUCUUCACACCCAAGUGGAGGCCGGUCAUUGCACUGAGAUCGGCUGAAGCUUGCCCCUACUUCUAACUGGGGUAGGUGGGGUAUGUAAUUUUUGGUAGUGGGGUUAGGCGUUCGCGCCAGCCCCUC
rnacentral:snRNA from 1 species